rnacentral:rRNA from 1 species
UUUGAAGUAGAUUGCCUGGAGUUGGUACAGCUCUGGAACUCGCAACAAUUUUCACGCUCUGUUAUAGCGCCUAUUCUUCUCGAAAUUGAAGGGCUAGCCUCAACUUUCCUUAGUUUUGAUGUUCAACAUGUAAUGAGAUAAGCCAACAAUUCAGCGCACCUGUGUGCAAAGCAUGCAAGCACACUGGGAGUGACUGAUUACUGGAUGAACUCUCCUCCCGGUUUCCUCAUGACAAGCCUUGAUACGUCUCCAACGUAUCUACUUUUUAUCAUGCUUUUCCUCUUGUUUUGGACUCUAAUUUGCAUGAUUUGA